rnacentral:rRNA from 1 species
UACGGAGGAUGCAAGCGUUAUCCGGAUUUAUUGGGCGUAAAGCGUCCGCAGGUGGCUAUACAAGUCUGCUGUUAAAGCGUGGGGCUUAACUCCAUACAGGCAGUGGAAACUGUAAAGCUAGAGUCUGGUAGGGGUCACGGGAAUUCCCAGUGUAGCGGUGAAAUGCGUAGAUAUUGGGAAGAACACCAGCGGCGAAAGCGCGUGACUGGGCCGGAACGACACUCAUGGACGAAAGCUAGGGGAGCGAAAGGG